AGAGUCUGCACUGCACACGUGCCUAGUUCACAAAAACAAAAAAGAAGCUUUAAUCUGGAUCCCUUCUUCAACGGCCAAACCGAAAAAAGCUGGCUCAUAAUAACACAUCACUCCCCGCACAUCCACACUACACAUUAGUCCCCUCACUUCCUCAUAGAAACUAUCGCCCAACUCUCUCUCUCUCUCUCUCUCUCUCACACAUACAAUACAUAACAAAGCACACACAAACUUUUCUUUUCCUUGACGAUCUCUACGAAGCUCUCUCUCUCUCUCUCAUUGCUUAAUAAUUACCCCCCUCAUUUCAAACCCUUUCUCUUAACCCUUUCCUCUAUCAGAUCCUCUCUCUCUCUCUUUCAGGAUCUCAAUUUCCGGGAAGCUAAUUGAGGGGGAAUUAGAGAAUGGCUUCGAUAUCGCAUUCUCCAGCGGGAUUCGUGGGGACUUCGGCUUCGGAUCUUCUCCGGAGCUCGAGCAAUGGCGUCAAUGGCAUUCCUCUGAGAACUCUAGGGAGGGCGCGAUUUGGCGGCAGCAGCAGCAGCACCACGACGAGGAGGGAUUCCAGGGUCGUGGCGAAGAUUAGGAAGGUGAAGAAGCACGACCACCCGUGGCCAGACAAUCCGGAUCCCAAUGUGAAAGGUGGGAUCCUUACCCAUCUCUCACAUUUCAAGCCUUUGCCAGAGAACGAAAAGCCGAGGCCCAUAACUUUGGAAUUCGAGAAGCCACUUAUCAAUCUAGAGAAGAAAAUCGUUGAUGUGCGGAAGAUGGCGAAUGAAACUGGUUUGGACUUCAGUGAUCAGAUUCUCUCAUUGGAGAAUAAAUAUCAGCAGGCUCUAAAGGAUUUAUAUACACAUCUAACUCCAAUACAGCGGGUGUAUAUUGCACGGCAUCCUAACAGGCCAACUUUCCUUGAUCAUGUGUUUAACAUUACUGAAAAGUUUGUGGAGCUUCAUGGAGACCGGAGUGGGUACGAUGAUCCUGCUAUUGUUACUGGUAUAGGAACCAUAGAUGGUAGGAGGUACAUGUUCAUGGGUCACCAAAAAGGUAGAAACACAAAAGAGAACGUCAAGCGGAACUUUGGGAUGCCUACUCCCCAUGGUUACCGGAAAGCUCUUCGCAUGAUGUAUUAUGCAGAUCACCAUGGGUUUCCUAUAAUUACUUUCAUUGAUACUCCGGGGGCUUAUGCAGACCUCAAAUGUGAAGAACUAGGACAAGGUGAAGCCAUUGCUAACAAUUUAAGGACCAUGUUUGGCUUGAAGGUACCCAUUGUUUCUAUUGUCAUUGGGGAAGGUGGUUCUGGCGGUGCCCUUGCCAUCGGUUGUGCUAAUAAAUUGAUAAUGCUUGAAAAUGCAGUUUUCUAUGUUGCCAGUCCAGAAGCAUGUGCGGCAAUCUUGUGGAAGAGUGCCAAAGCUGCUCCACAGGCAGCUGAGACACUAAGGAUUACUGCUACCGAGUUGUGCAAGCUGCAGAUUGCAGAUGGUGUUAUCCCUGAGCCUCUUGGUGGUGCACAUGCUGAUCCGACUUGGACCUCACAACAGAUAAAAAAUGCAAUUAAUGAAUCAAUGGAUGAGCUUAUGAAGAUGGACACAGAAGAGCUUCUGAAGCAUCGCAUGCUUAAGUUUCGAAAAAUCGGUGGGUUCCAAGAAGGACUCCCAGUAGAUCCUAAGAAAAAAGUCCACAUGAAAAAGAAAGAAGAACCCAUCAUCAGGACUUCCAACCUAAAUAUAGAGGAUGAGGUCAAAAAACUUAUGCAGCAAAGAUUGAAUGCCAAAGAGUCCUCUGUGGAACUUCCAGAGUCAGAUGUAAAUGAAAUGAUAGAAAAACUGAAAAGAGAGGUUGACCGUGAAUACUCUGAGGCUAUUAAGGCAAUGGGUUUGAAGGACAGGCUUGCAAUGUUGCGUGAAGAAUAUUCAAAAGUAAAUUUGCAAGACCAACUCAUGCAUCCAGUCCUAAAGGACAAGAUUGAAAAACUUAGGGAUGAGUUUACCCAGGGUGUCUCUGCAUCUCCUAAUUAUGAAACCUUGAAGUCUAAACUUGACAUGUUGUCGGAAUUAUCAAAAAUCAAGAGUGCUUCUGAAAAGAACAAAAAGUCUGCCACAUUAAAGCAGGCAGUCAAUAAGAAGUUUGUUGAAAUCAUGAAUCGGCCUGAUAUAAAGGAGAAAUACAAGGCACUGGAGGCUGCAAUUGAAAAUUCUGCAGGUCAGGAUUUGGACCAUGAGCUGAAGGAGGAACUUGUGAAGAUGAAGAAAGAGAUAGAGUUGGAACUGGCUGGUGCUAUCAAAUCUCUGGGUUUGGAUGUUGAGGUUGUGAAGUCAAAAGCAAAGGAGAUCAGUGAACAGAUUCCAUUGGAUGUCAAAGUCAAGGUAGAAGAGCUGAAUGAAGAAAUUAAGGGAGAAAUUGAAAAUGUUAUCAAGUCAACAGAUCUGAAGGACAAGAUUGAGCUACUGAAGUUGGAGGUUGCAAAGGCAGGGAAUACACCUGAUGUGGCGUCCAAAAAUAGAAUUGCAGCUUUGGAGCAACAAAUUAAGCAGGGCCUUGCGGAGGCCAUGAAUUCUUCAAACCUAAAAGAGAAGCAUGAAGAGCUCAGGGCAGAAAUUUCCAAAACCAUCGAAUCUUCUGCAGGAUUGGAUGGAAGUUUGGAAAACCAAUUUCCAAAAGAAGAUGGUUCUACGUAUGAUGAACAAGCAGUAGAGAUGAAUGUGGGUGCGAAUCGUUCCUUUGCUUAAUAUAAUACAAUCUUGGUAACUCCAUUCCUGACUUGAAAUGAUCUGAAAGAUAAAUUCAUAUGAUAUCAGUAUUUUGCUGAUAUCCUGUGCUAAAGAAGGUGGAUUGGAGACAAAUGGAGGUUAUUGAUAAAACAGUUGAAGCUGCACUAAUUCUAGGAAAGAUUUUGACUUUCAGCUGUCUUCAAUGCUACCAGCAUUUAUUCAGUCAAAAAAAAAAAAUGCUACCAGCAUUUAUUGCUAUCUCUUGCUCUGGUCCACAUGGUUUUGCAUCCACAGAAACAACAAGGGACAGCAUAACUGAGUAUUUUUCAGCUAGAAUGCUUCAAUUUGUAUUACGUUGUUACAAUUUAGCAUCUCAUGUUCCUUUUUUUUCUCCCUUUUUGGUAGAAUAUUUUAAUUGUUAAUCUUUUUUAUUUAUAGACACACAACUUUGUAUAGAUUGUGCUGAGUGCAAGGGAGGCUAGAAGAGCUUCUAUAUAUUUGAAAUAAGAUGCCGUUUGGUUAA